CCACCUUUUCCUUGUAGCGGAAUCACACAAGCCCAAUCACACAGUAUGUGACGUCCUGCGCAUACCAAAAUAAUUAGAUGGAAGUCAAUGAAUAAAAGUAUGCAAGAAUAUUCUUCCCCCGCAAGGCCAUCUUCGGUCGGUCUAUUUACGGAUGAGAGAAGCAGAUAGAAUGAUAAGAGGGCUCGUUGUUUGGUGGGAAGGGAUACCGUGGGCCC
rnacentral:lncRNA from 1 species